rnacentral:rRNA from 1 species
UACGGAGGGUGCAAGCGUUAUCCGGAUUCACUGGGUUUAAAGGGUUCGUAGGAGGGCAGGUAAGUCCGUGGUGAAAUCUCUGAGCUUAACUCGGAAACUGCCAUGGAUACUAUCCGUCUUGAAUGCGGUGGAGGUGAGCGGAAUAUGUCAUGUAGCGGUGAAAUGCUUAGAUAUGACAUAGAACACCGAUUGCGAAGGCAGCUCGCUACACCUGCAUUGACUCUGAGGCACGAAAGCGUGGGGAUCAAACAGG